rnacentral:rRNA from 1 species
UACGUAGGGUCCAAGCGUUAUCCGGAAUUACUGGGCGUAAAGAGUUGCGUAGGUGGCAUAGUAAGCGAAUAGUGAAAUGACGGGGCUCAACCCCGUGCCCAUUAUUUGAACUGCUAAGCUAGAGAAUGAGAGAGGUCACUGGAAUUCCCUGUGUAGGAGUGAAAUCCGUAGAUAUAGGGAGGAACACCGAUGGCGUAGGCAGGUGACUGGCUCAUUUCUGACACUAAGGCACGAAAGCGUGGGGAGCAAACGGG